rnacentral:lncRNA from 1 species
UGGGGGGGGGACACAGCAGCACAGCAGAACGAGCGCUGCGGUGGCUCAGCUUUUGAAGACCAGACGGGCGCUGGGGGGGGGGAGGGGGGCCUCACAGCCCAGGAAUCCCCCGGGGGCGGCGGGAGGGGUCCCUCCGGGCUCUCAGUGGGGCAGCUCGUGGGGGAUGAGUUUGUAGUGGGAGCCGCAGGACGGGCAGCGCUGCGCCUCCCCUUUGUGCAGCCAGAACCAAAUGACGCAGCUGUUGUCCUCUUCACAGACGCAGCCCACGAUGCGUUUAUCGGUGAUGGAAGGCACGAGGUUGGGGUCCUCCUUGGUGCCCGCGUAGCGCUUCGGCCGGAACAUACUGUAGGGGUCCAGGCCUUUAUUCAUGGCCUCCAUCACCUUCCGCUCCAGCCCCGUCGCCUGCUCCUCGUCCGUGGCGAGGUCGCCGGGCGCGGCGAAGUGCCGGACGGGCGCAGCCCGAGCGGUGGCGGCGGGCAGAAGCCGCAGCGCCGCGCCCACCCGCAGUAACCUUGAGGCCAUGGCUGCAGCGGCGGCAAUCAGCGCUUCCGGCGGCGGCGGAGGC